rnacentral:rRNA from 1 species
UAGGUUUCCUGGGCAACGUUCGUCGUCCCAGGGUUAGUCGGGACCUAAGCCGAGGCCGAAGGGCGUAGGCGAUGGAUAGCGGGUUAAUAUUCCCGCACCUCCUGAACCCAAAGCGGAAAGGACGCAGGGAUGGAGAGAUGACGCCGAUUGAAUGUGGCGGAAGCAAGGCUACGGCCGAGCAUACCUUCUCGAAGUCAAUGCCAAGAAAAGCUUCCGUGUUGUGCUAAGGGAGCCCGUACCGUAAACCGACACAGGUGGGUGGGUAGAAUAUACCAAGGCGCAAGAGUGAACCCUGGUUAAGGAACUCGGCAAUAUAGCCCCGUAACUUCGGAAUAAGGGGUGCCUGCUUCGGCAGGCCGCAGUGAAUGGGAUCAACCGACUGUUUAGCAAAAACACAGCAUUGUGCCAAGACGAGAGUCCAAGUAUACGAUGUGACACGUGACCAAUGCGGAAAGAUUAAGGCAAGGGGUUAGCGCAAGCGAAGCUCUGAACCUAAGUCCCCGUGAAUGUCGGCCGUAACAAUAGCGGUCCUAAGGUAGCGAAAUUCCUUGUCAGGUAAGUUCUGACCUGCACGAAUCGUGUAACGAGUUGAUCGCUGUCUCAACCAGAAGCUCAGUGAAAUUGUAUUGGCGGUGAAGAUGCCGCCUACCCGCAGAAGGACGGAAAGACCCUAUGAACCUUAACUGUAAGCUGUUACUGGUUUUUCGUUUUCAAUGCUCAGCGUAAGUGGGAGACUUUGAAGCGGCCCUUUAGGGGGUUGCAGAGUCGUCAAUGAGACACCACCCUUUGGUAAUGGAGAAUCUAACCUCGAGCCCUACAUCGGGCCGAGGGACAAUGCCAGCCGGUCAGUUUUACUGGGGCGGUAUCCUCCCAAAAAGUAACGGAGGAGCGCGAUGGUGGGCUCAGCGUGGUUGGUAAUCACGUGUCGAGUGUAUAGGCACAAGCCCGCCUAACUGUGAGACGGACAUGUCGAGCAGAUACGAAAGUAGGCCUAAGUGAUCCGGUAGUCGAAAGUGGAAUUGCUAUCGCUCAACGGAUAAAAGGUACUCUAGGGAUAACAGGCUGAUCGCGCCCAAGAGUUCAUAUCGACGGCGCGGUUUGGCACCUCGAUGUCGGCUCGUCGCAUCCUGGGGCUGGAGAAGGUCCCAAGGGUCCGGCUGUUCGCCGGUUAAAGCGGCACGCGAGCUGGGUUCAGAACGUCGCGAGACAGUUCGGUCCUCUAUCCUCUGUGGGCGAAGGAAAAUUGAGGGGUUCAAACCCUAGUACGAGAGGACCGGGUUUGACGCACCACUGGUGCACCAGUUGUUCCGUCAGGAGCAUGGCUGGGUAGCUAUGUGCGGAAGAGAUAAGCGCUGAAAGCAUCUAAGCGCCAAGCUCAUCCCAAGAUGAGUUUUCCCUGAAGGAUCGUGGAAGACCACCACGUCGAUAGGCUGCUAGUGUAAUCGCAGUAAUGCGUUCAGCUAAGCAGUACUAAUCAUCUG